GUGCCGUGAUGUAAUGUCAACACAUCAUUCUGAAGAGGAAUUGUGUGGAGACCUUCUUUAACUGAGCACA
rnacentral:snoRNA from 1 species